GACGAACGCUGGCGGCGUGCCUAAUACAUGCAAGUAGAACGCUGAAGGAGGAGAUUGCUUCUCUGGAUGAGUUGCGAACGGGUGAGUAACGCGUAGGUAACCUGCCUGGUAGCGGGGGAUAACUAUUGGAAACGAUAGCUAAUACCGCAUAAGAGUAGAUGUUGCAUGACAUUUGCUUAAAAGGUGCAAUUGCAUCACUACCAGAUGGACCUGCGUUGUAUUAGCUAGUUGGUGGGGUAAUGGCUCACCAAGGCGACGAUACAUAGCCGACCUGAGAGGGUGAUCGGCCACACUGGGACUGGGACACGGCCCAGACUCCUACGGGAGGCAGCAGUAGGGAAUCUUCGGCAAUGGACGGAAGUCUGACCGAGCAACGCCGCGUGAGUGAAGAAGGGUUUCGGAUCGUAAAGCUCUGUUGUAAGAGAAGAACGAGUGUGAGAGUGGAAAGUUCACACUGUGACGGUAUCUUACCAGAAAGGGACGGCUAACUACGUG
rnacentral:rRNA from 1 species